GUGAGGAAUAUUGGUCAAUGGGCGGGAGCCUGAAUCAGCCAAGUCGCUUGAAGGAAGAAGGAUCUAUGGUUCGUAAACUUCUUUUGCAGGGGAAUAAAGUGCAGGACGUGUCCUGUUUUGUAUGUACCCUGAGAAUAAGGAUCGGCUAACUCCGUGCCAGCAGCCGCGGUAAUACGGAGGAUCCGAGCGUUAUCCGGAUUUAUUGGGUUUAAAGGGUGCGUAGGUGGUUUGAUAAGUCAGCGGUGAAAGUUUGCAGCUUAACUGUAAAAAUGCCGUUGAAACUGUCGGACUUGAGUGUAAAUGAGGUAGGCGGAAUGCGUGGUGUAGCGGUGAAAUGCAUAGAUAUCACGCAGAACUCCGAUUGCGAAGGCAGCUUACUAAGCUACAACUGACACUGAAGCACGAAAGCGUGGGGAUCAAACAGGAUUAGAAACCCGGGUAGUCC
rnacentral:rRNA from 1 species